AUGCAGAAGCUCCAGCUCGCCAGCCCGACCGCGGUGUCCGUCCCGGCGCUCUUCCUCUUCGUCCUCUUCCUGCUCGCCGCGCGCCAGCAACGCUCGCUCCUCGACACCUACAGGUCCGGGUUCGCCUCCGUUUCCUCGUCGGGGUCGCCGCGGCUCGAGCCCGGGCGUCCUGCCGUCGCCCGGGUGCCCAAGGGAUGCGACAUUUUCCGGGGCGAGUGGGUGCCGGAUGACGGCGGCGAGCCGUACUACACGAACCGGACCUGCCCGCUGAUCCAGGAGCACCAGAACUGCAUGAAGUACGGCCGCCCCGACCUCGGCUUCCUUAGGUGGCGCUGGCGGCCGGCGCAGUGCGAGCUCCCCCGGUUCGACGCGGCGGCCUUCUUCGACGCCGUCAGGGGCCGCUCCAUGGCCUUCGUCGGGGACUCGCUCGCCAGGAACCACAUGCAGUCCCUCAUGUGCCUCUUGUCCAAGCUGGAGUACCCCAAAGACAUUUCCACGACGAAAAACCAAGAAUUCAGGACAUUGUACUACGAGUCUUACAACUUCACCAUCUCCACCUUCUGGUCGCCGUUCCUCGUCAAGGCGAACCAGUCCGACGCCGACUACGGCAGCGGUCGGCUGUGGAAUAUCUACCUCGACGAGCCGGACGACGCCUGGCUGCCCGGCGUGGCGGGCGCCGACUACCUCGUCCUCUCGGGCGCGAACUGGUUCACGCGGCCGUCCCUGUUCUACGAGUCCGGCCGCCUCGUCGCCUGCCACUACUGCCUCGUCCCGGGCGUGCCGGACCUCACGCUGCGGCACUCGCAGCGGGUGGCGUUCCGCACGGUGCUGCGGGCGGUCACGAGCCACCCGGGCUUCAACGGGACGGCGAUCGUGCGGACGGUGUCGCCGACGCACUUCGAGGGCGGGGAGUGGAACAAGGGCGGCGACUGCCGGCGGACGCGGCCGUACGCGGCGAACGAGACGCGCAUGGCCGGGCUGAGCCUCGACUUCCACACGGCGCAGGUGGAGGAGUUCGCGCAGGCGGAGGAGGCGGCCAGGAGGAGAGGAGGGGGAGGCGCGAGGCUGGUGCUCAUGGACACCACGGCGGCGAUGCUGCUCCGGCCGGACGGCCACCCGAGCCGGUACGGGCACUGGGCGCACGAGAACGUGACCCUGUAUAAGGACUGCGUGCACUGGUGCCUGCCGGGCCCGAUCGACGCGUGGAACGAGAUGCUGCUCCAGAUGGACAUCUCCAACGUUGGCCUUCAAAACGGACGCAGUAUCUGUCCGCGGACAGUGACGUAA
rnacentral:rRNA from 1 species